AUGAACGCUAGCGGCAGGCUUAACACAUGCAAGUCGAGGGGCAGCAUACCCAGCAAUGGGUGAUGGCGACCGGCGGAAGGGUGCGUAACGCGUGAGCAACAUACCCUAUACAGGGGGAUAAGCCAGGGAAACUUGGUCUAAUAUCCCAUAGGAAAUAGAUAAGGCAUCUUAUUUAUUUUAAAGCUUCGGUGGUAUAGGAUUGGCUCGCGUGACAUUAGCUAGAUGGAGGGGUAACGGCCCACCAUGGCAAUGAUGUCUAGGGGUUCUGAGAGGAAGAUCCCCCACACUGGGACUGAGACACGGCCCAGACUCCUACGGGAGGCAGCAGUGAGGAAUAUUGGACAAUGGAUGGAAAUCUGAUCCAGCCAUGCCGCGUGCAGGAAGACGGCCCUAUGGGUUGUAAACUGCUUUUAUACGGGAGCAAUAAGGUCUAUGCAUAGAUUGAUGAGAGUACCGUAUGAAUAAGCAUCGGCUAACUCCGUGCCAGCAGCCGCGGUAAUACGGAGGAUGCGAGCGUUAUCCGGAUUUAUUGGGUUUAAAGGGUGCGUAGGCGGCUUUGUAAGUCAGCGGUGAAAUUUUGCAGCUUAACUGUAAAAGCGCCGUUGAUACUGUGAAGCUAGGAUUUGGUUGCUGUGGGCGGAAUGUGUGGUGUAGCGGUGAAAUGCAUAGAGAUCACACAGAAUAUCGAUUGCGAAGGCAGCUCACAAAGCCAAUAUUGACGCUGAGGCACGAAAGUGUGGGGAUCAAACAGGAUUAGAUACCCUGGUAGUCCACACUGUAAACGAUGAUAACUCGCUGUCGGCGAUAGACCGUCGGUGGCCAAGCGAAAGCGAUAAGUUAUCCACCUGGGGAGUACGACCGCAAGGUUG
rnacentral:rRNA from 1 species